UACGUAGGGUGCGAGCGUUGUCCGGAAUUACUGGGCGUAAAGAGCUCGUAGGUGGUUUGUCGCGUUGUUCGUGAAAUCUCACGGCUUAACUGUGAGCGUGCGGGCGAUACGGGCAGACUAGAGUACUGCAGGGGAGACUGGAAUUCCUGGUGUAGCGGUGGAAUGCGCAGAUAUCAGGAGGAACACCGGUGGCGAAGGCGGGUCUCUGGGCAGUAACUGACGCUGAGGAGCGAAAGCGUGGGGAGCGAACAGGAUUAGAUACCCUGGUAGUCCACGCCGUAAACGGUGGGUACUAGGUGUGGGUUUCCUUCCCUUGGGAUCCGUGCCGUAGCUAACGCAUUAAGUACCCCGCCUGGGGAGUACGGCCGCAAGGCUAAAACUCAAAGGAAU
rnacentral:rRNA from 1 species